rnacentral:rRNA from 1 species
AACGAACGCUGGCGGCAUGCCUAACACAUGCAAGUCGAGCGGAUGACGGGAGCUUGCUCCUUGAUUCAGCGGCGGACGGGUGAGUAAUGCCUAGGAAUCUGCCUGGUAGUGGGGGACAACGUUUCGAAAGGAACGCUAAUACCGCAUACGUCCUACGGGAGAAAGCAGGGGACCUUCGGGCCUUGCGCUAUCAGAUGAGCCUAGGUCGGAUUAGCUAGUUGGUGGGGUAAUGGCUCACCAAGGCGACGAUCCGUAACUGGUCUGAGAGGAUGAUCAGUCACACUGGAACUGAGACACGGUCCAGACUCCUACGGGAGGCAGCAGUGGGGAAUAUUGGACAAUGGGCGAAAGCCUGAUCCAGCCAUGCCGCGUGUGUGAAGAAGGUCUUCGGAUUGUAAAGCACUUUAAGUUGGGAGGAAGGGCAGUAAGUUAAUACCUUGCUGUUUUGACGUUACCGACAGAAUAAGCACCGGCUAACUCUGUGCCAGCAGCCGCAGUAAAAC